rnacentral:rRNA from 1 species
UACGUAGGGGCUAGCGUUGUCCGGAAUCAUUGGCGUAAGAGCGCGUAGGCGGCCAGAUAAGUCGGUGUGAAGUCACAAGGCCUCGAACCUGUGAAGUGCCGCUGGAAACAUGUCUGGCUAGAGUCGGGAGGGCGGAGUGGGAAAUUCCUGGUGUAGCGGGUGAAAAUUCGCAGAUAUCAGGAGGAACGACCAAUGGCGAAGGCAGCUCGCCUGGGACGAACCACUGACGCUGAGACGCGAAGCGUGGGGGAGCAAACAGG